UGGGGCGUCGCCAAGCGGUAAGGCAGCGGAUUUUGAUUCCGCCAUGCGGAGGUUCGAAUCCUCCCGCCCCAGCCA
rnacentral:tRNA from 14 species